AACGCAUCUUGCGCUCCUUGGUAUUCCAUGGAGCAUGCCUGUUUGAGUGUCACGUAAACCCUCACCCUCGCGAUGUUACAGUCGCCCGCGGUGGACUUGGACUGUGCCGUAACCGGCUCGUCUUGAAAUGCAUUAGCUGGCGCUUUUAGAGUGCUGGGCGACGGUGUGAUAAUUAUCUGCGCCAAUGCCCUGGGCCUCUUCAGCGGUGCCGCUUACAGUCGUCCCUUCCGCGGACAAUUUUACUAUAAAGCUUUGGCCUCAAAUCAGGUAGGACUACCCGCUGAACUUAA
rnacentral:misc_RNA from 1 species